rnacentral:lncRNA from 1 species
UGGGUUUUCAGGAAAGGAAAUCAUGUCAACCAACUCGGAAAACUACAAAAACAAUCUUGUGGAACAUGUAAGACUUUUUUUCAAGUUUAAAAUGUGACGUUGCUUUUUUUUUUUUUAUCUACAUUCCAACGGUGGAGCUGCUUUGUAUCUUCGUUAGAAACCAGCUCCUUCUUCACACGAAUAUUAAAAAAAAAUCAAAAACAGAAGAGAAUGCACACACACACACACACACACACACACACACACACACAUACACACACACACACACAAACACACAAACACACACAAACGCACACACACACACACACACGCACGCAUUCAUUUAUGAAAAUACAUUUUUCUUAAGAAGAAAAUGGGUCCAUGUUGUUUAUAAUGAGAUUCACGAGGGAAUAUAUAUAUAUAUAUAUAUAUAUAUAUAUAUAUAUAUAUAUAUAUAUAUAUAUAUAUAUAUAUAUAUAUAUAUAUAUAUAUAUAUAUAUAUAUAUAUAUAUAUAUAUAUAUAUAGCCUCGACAACCGAUGAUAGCGUGUUUUCAUCUCUGUAAUCUAUCGGUUCAGCAAAAGAGAUUGAUAGAAUAAGUAUCUGGCUUACAAAGAAUAAGUCCUAGGGUUAAUUUCUUCGAUUAAACACCUUUAAUGCAGUGCUCCAGCAUAGUCGUAGUCAAAUGAGUGAAAUGAAUAAGUGCAUCUAUGUAUCUCGGUUAGUCUCUCACCGGUCGCUUACAGUUUCCCGGUCAUUCUGUUUUUUUAUAUUGUCUCAGUAUAUCCGUCUCACUAUCGUCUGCUUUCUCACUCAAUGUAUUUGCUUGCUCAAAGCGGCGAGCUGGCAGAAUCACUAGCACGCCGGGCGAAAUGCUUAGCAGUAUUUCGUCUGCCGCUACGUUCUGAGUUCAAAUUCCGCCGAGGUCGACUUUACCUUUCAUCCUUUCGGGGUCGAUUAAAUACUGUACCAGAUAUGCAUUGGGGUCGAUGUAAUCGAUUUUAUCCCUUUGUCUGUCUUUGUUUGUCCCCUCUAUGUCUGUCCCCUUGUGGGCAAUAAAGAAAUAAAUAUUUCGUCUGUCGCUACGUUCUGAGUUCAAAUUCUGCCGAGGUCGACUUUACAUUUCAUCCUUUCGAGGUCGAUAAAUAAAUACCAGUUAUGCAUUGGGGUCGAUGUAAUCGAUUUUAUCCCUUUGUCUGUCCUUGCUUGUCCCCUCUAUGCCUGUCCCCUUGUGGGCAAUAAAGAAAUAAAUAUUUCGUCUGUCUUUACGUUAUGAGUUCAAAUUCCACCGAGGUCGACAUUACCUUUCAUCGUUUUGGGGCCGAUAAAUUAAUAGCAGUUGCGUACUGAUGUCGAUCUAGUCAACUGACCCCCUCUCCCAAAAUUUCGGGCCUUGUGCCUUUGCUUGCUCGUUCAUACAUUUUCUCACCCAGCUACUUAACUACCCUCAUACACCUUAGCCUCAGUCCCUCACUCAUUCGCCUUCUCUCUUACUCAACCAUUUACUCAUUUCCUCGCUCAAACGCUCACUCAUUUGCUCAUUCCCUGACUCAUUCCAUCAUGCAUACCCUGACUUAACGUUGACUUUCCUUCUUAAACUUACUUCUCCGUUUUUCAUUUCGUUUCUCUUCUUUCUUCGUCCAACAUCUUCCUCUUCUCUCUCUACACAUACACACACACUCUCUCUCUCUCUGUCUGUCUCUCACACACACACUGGAAAUGCUUUCACUUGUAGACUUAGCCAACACUUAUCUCUCAAUAUUUUUCUUUCUCCGUCUGUAAGUCUCCUGGUCCAUGUAAAUCUAUCUACGAUUCUGUUACUUUCCUCUCUGACAACAUCAUUUCUCGCCGCGUUCGCUUUACUUACUCUCUCUCUCUCUCUCUCUCUCUCUCACACUUACUCAUCCUCUUACUAUCUUUCACUCGCUUUCAGAUGUGGUAAACUCUUUUUAAAGAUAUUCCCUAUUUUACCUUACUCUCCCGCCCCUCACUUCCAAUGUUCACCCCCUCACUCACUCACUCACUCACUCACUCACUCACUCUCUCUCUCUUUCUCUCUCUCUCUCUCUCGCUCUCUCGUCUUCUCAUUAAUCGUAUCUUCAAUCAUUCUGUUAUCCUUGCUUACACCCUUUUUCAUCUUCGUCUGCAUCCGCAAUGCUCUUUCUCUCCCAUUCGAGAUUCACUUUGUUUUUGCGCCUCUCUCUAGCUCUGUCUUAUCCUACUCAUAACGUGCCGUCCCGUUCUUUAUAAAUAUUUCUAGCUAUUUAUCUUCUCCCUUUUUAUACAUACAUGUGCGUGUAUGUGUGCGUGUGUGUAUGUGUAUGUGUGCGUGUGUGUAUGUAUCUAAAGGCGGCGAGCUGGCAGAAACGUUAGCACGCCGGGCGAAAUGCAUAGCCGUAUUUCGUCUGUCGUUACGUUCUGGGUUCAAAUUCCGCCGAGGUCGACUUUGCCUUUCAUCCUUUCGAGGUCGAUAAAUUAAGUACCAGUUACGUACUGGGGUCGAUGUAAUCGACUUAAUCCGUUUGUCUGUCCUUGUUUGUCUCCUCUGUGGGUAGUAAAGAAAUAUGUAUGUAUGUGUGUUUGUAUACAGAGAGAUAGAGGGAGUAAAGGGGAGUUGGGAGGGCAAGGAUUAUUGUAGAUUUAAGCAUUACAAAGCUUCACUGCGAGUUAAAUGUAAACAUAUUCAUCGUACGCUAUUGAUAUAUAUUAAUGUAUGGGAAAAUGACGAUGAAAAUCUCCUGACGGACCGAUUUACGGUUUGUUGGGCGUUCUUCACAGAAGGCGUACUCAGGUUCCCUCUCGAAUGAAAAGCACUGAUAAGCUGAAUAUAAACAGUCAUAAGUAUGGAAGCACUCCGUCGGUUACGACGACGAGGGUUCCAGUUGAUCCGAAUCAACGGAACAGCCUGCUCGUGAAAUUAACGUGUAAGUGGCUGAGCACUCCACAGACACGUGUACCCUUAACGUAGUUCUCGGGGAUAUUCAGCGUGACACAGAGAGUGACAAGGCCGGCCCUUUGAAAUACAGGUACAACAGAAACAGGAAGUAAGAGUGAGAGAAAGUUGUGGUGAAAGAGUACAGCAGGGAUUACCACCAUCCCCUGCCGGAGCCUCGUGGAGCUUUAGGUGUUUUCGCUCAAUAAACACUCACAACGCCUGGUCUGGGAAUCGAAACCGCGAUCCUAUGACCGCGAGUCCGCUGCCCUAACCACUGGGCCAUUGCGCCUCCAUAGUCAUAAAUAUAGCUAGCACUUCAAGGAUAGCCUGAUUUCUAUAUUUUUCGCUUUGAGUGUUCGUGAUUAAUUUACACAAUAAAUAUUUCAUGUAUAACGAAGCGUAAUUCAUAUAUCUAAGCUCGAAACAUAACAGACUUUUCCAUUUUUCUCGAGUGUUAAACUAAUACACCUGCUUGUUGUUCCUACACCUGUCUUUGUCUUUUCUUUUGUGUAAAUUUGAACUAUAUAUAUAAUCAAAGCCAGUAGUAGUGACAAGAAAAAGAAUAUUUAUUCUGUUUGUCUACAGCUGUUUCGGAAUUCGUACUCAGUUACAUCAUUAACGCCGCUAAAGCGCUGUACAUACAUUUAAGCGUACAUAUAUAUAGUCGUGCACAUAUAGCUGUAAGUAACAUUAUGAGCAGGAUUAUUCUUCAGAACAUUUUAUCGGCAUUGAAAAUUUAAUUCUCUGAAACUUCUCCUGUAUACACAAAACUACACCCUUCUAGCGUUAUCUCUUUAUUUUCGUAUGUGUGUAUACGCUUACACACAUAACCUUUUUUUAUCUAUCUGUCUGUCUAUCUAUCUAUCUAUCUAUCUAUCUAUCUAUCUAUCUAUCUAUCUAUCUAUCUAUCUAUCUAUCUAUCUAUCUAUCUAUUUAUCUCUCUCUCUCACUCUCUCUCUCUAUCUAUCUAUCUAUCUAUUUAUCUCUCUCUCUCACUCUCUCUCUCUCUCUCUCUCUCUAUCUAUCUAUCUAUCCAUUUGUCCGUCUGUCAGCUUGUCAGUCUCUAUCCGCAUAUCUAUUAAUCUAACUCCUACCUCCCCACCAACUUUACCACCCACUCUCGCAAACCUCCCUCCCACCUUCUCUCCCUCCAUAUCUACCUACAUACCUACCUACCUACCUCUGUUCCUCUCCCUGCCUUUUAUAUCUUUAAUCAGUGUUUUCCAUUUCUUCUUUAUAGCAACGUGGAUUAUCUUACGGUCAAAUAAUACUCACAUUGUAUUUGCGCUUUAUUUUAGUCUUAUAAAAGACAGCAAAGCAAAGUAGAAAAAAUUCCAUUAAAAAAAAGACUAAAUCAUUCUCCCUCCUCUCAACAGCCGAAGGCCUAAGUAAUGAAAGUAUAAAAAAAAAGUCUUCAUUCAUAAAAUUCCGACACGCCUAACUGUAAUCAACAGUAGAUAUAGCAUAACAUAUCAUGUACUUUAAUCCCAUACAGGCGCACACAUGCAGACAGACACAGAAACACACACACACACACACAAUACGUCAUUCAAAUAUGGCGUAAAACACAGUACCUCACUCAUACAUACAUGUGUGUGUGUGUGUGUGUGUGUCUGUGUGGGUGUGUGUGUGUUUGUGUGUGUGCUUGCGUGUGUAUGGGUAUCUAUGCAUGCAUAUUGAGCUUAAAACUCUCAGAUAUUUAACAGGGAUGUGGGUUCGUGUCCCACGCACAGCCUCCGAUCUUAUCUAUCCAAACUGUUUUUAAUCCGUAUUUACUCGCUAUGAUUUAUAUCUUUAUUUGCUUCGAGAUACAUCGUUCCUAAAAGAAUUAUUUUGCGUUGAGAUCAACCUCCGCAAAAAAAUCCCAAAUUUUGUUUAAUUUGCUUUGCGGGAAGGAACUGUUUUAACGAAGUCGUGUCUUGCCCCUACCUUAGAAACACGGAGUAGAUAAAAUAGGGGACAACUGAUGAAGGGAAUGUUCCUUAUGUUACCUGUCUCGUUUCUCUAUUUGUUUCUUUCAUUGUUUCGAAAAAAGUUCGUUUUCCAUACUUUUGUUUUUUAUGUUCUCGUUUUUCCUUUUGUUCACGUUUUUUGACGUCAUGUACCCAUAUAUACACCCAGUUACAUUUCAGUAGAACAUUCAUCAUGUUAACACAGCCCAACAUCCAUCUACAAAUAUAAAGUGUGAAGUUUCCCAUUUCCGAAAGUUGUUUCCAAUUUCACAUCAUUGUGAAGGCGCGUGGUAAGUAGCUUGCUAACCAGCCACAUGGUUCCGGGUUCAGUCCCACUGCGUGGCAUCUUGGGCAGGUGUCUUCUGCUAUAGCCCCGGACCGACCAAUGCCUUGUGAGUGGAUUUGGUAGACGGAAACUGAAAGAAGCCUGUCGUAUAUAUGUAUAUAUAUAUAUAUAUAUGUGUGUAUGUGUGUGUGUUUGUCCCCCUAACAUUGCUUGACAACCGAUGCUGGUGUGUUUAAGUCCCCGUCACUUAGCGGUUCGUCAAAAAGAGACCGAUAGAAUAAGUACUGGGCUUACAAAGAAUAAGUCCCGGGGUCGAUUUGCUCGACUAAAGGCGGUGCUCCAGCAUGACCGCAGUCAAAUGACUGAAACAAGUAAAAGAGUAAAAGAGUAAAAGAGUAAAGAGUAUAUAUUUCACACACAAAUUUUAUUAAAUACACAACAAGCGUAAGUUUUACUAAGUGGUAGUGAGUUAGGUGGUAGUAACAGUGGGAGCAUAGAAAGGAUAGGAAUAAAUGAGAUUAUGUGAAGUUUUUGUUUCACACACUCGCGCGCGGUGAUAUAUGUGCAUGUGUGUAUGUGUGUGUGAAUGUAUGUAAAAGAACACUCUUAUCGUAAACAAAACGGACGUUGCCAUUACUACAAACAACAAAAUGUCGCGAGGGUUUUUGCCCUUCGUGUAGUUGUAGCAGCAGAUAAAUUGUUCAUUGCCAUUGUGUUGUUAGCUACUGUUAGCCGUCUCUGUUGGUUAACUCCUACAGUGUCUGUCAAUGCUCUCUCUGCUGCCUUCCAAAUCUGUCUGACUAGUAGUCACGGUGUGUCGACUUUUAUACUAGUCGAUAGGCUCAGAAGGAAGCGCGGCAAAAGAAACGAUAGUUGUUGAAGCCUAUUCAACGCAAAGUCGUGAUCAGUCAGAUUUUGUUGUUCAUGUGGGCAAUAUUCCAGCGCAUCGUGACAUUGUUGCAUAUUUCCGCUACAUACACACACAUUAAAAUGUUGUGUGGUUUAAUGAUAUAACACGAAUAUAUUUAUACUUAGAAAACAAAAUGAAAAUGCACUGAGAAUUCUAUCAUGAAUGAAAGGAAGUACUGUUUAUCAUUUUAUCAUGCUUUUUAGCACCCUUAUCAAAAUAUGCUACCGGUUUCAAGUUCUUAAAAAGACGAUUUAGUCAUGCUGAAAUAAAAGGGAAAAUUAAGUGAAAGAAAUUAAAUUAAAUUCAUCUUUUAUGAUAUCAGUUGUGGAAGUACUCAUGAUUAUCUUACAAAAAUCACCUGAUGCUGAAAUUUCAUUUUCUUCUGAUUGUUAGUGGGUAGUACUAGCAGCGGCAGCAAUAAAAAGAGUGGCUACUAGCCGCAACUGUGGCAGCAAUGCGAGCAGCGGCUGUUUAGUCUAACUGUUAGCAGUAGUAAUAGUGGUAACCUCAGCAAGACUUGUAGUAGUGUUGGCGGUAGUUAUCUCCCUUUCUUUCUCAUAUCUAUUUAGACGAGGUCGGUGUUCAGCUGUAAAGAUUGUUUCUUUGUUGAUGCACUGUGUCACCGCUUGUCUCCAAAUAUCAAUCUAGCGAUCAAACAGAACUGAUAUCACAAAAGAUUAACUUAAUUUUCUUUAUUUCGAUUAAAUUUCCAUUUCAUUCUUGCAUGACGGAAUUGCCUUUAUAAGCGAUUGAAAUAGUGGCAUAUUUUGAAAUAAACAUAAAUACCUUCUUACUUUUAUCUAUCUAUCUAUCUAUCUAUCUAUCUAUCUAUCUAUCUAUCUAUCUAUCUAUCUAUCUAUCUAUCUAUCUAUCUAUCUAUCUAUCUAUCUAUCUAAUUAUUAUUUGAGUGAAUAAAAUCCAAACUUACAAGGAAAAAAGCUAAAUUUAGAAAUACUAAAUCAAAUUUCACACAAUAUAAUAUAUAUAAAAAAAAUUAGAAAAAACCCCACCUUUUAUCAAUUCAAAAUGAAUAAUUAAAUUACACCAUCAAGAAAAUUACAUAUAAUAGACGAUGGAAAAUGGAAGUUCUCUUUCAUGCAUUUCCUUAGUGAACCACAUGGAGUCAUGAAUGCUUUUACCUUUUACCUUUUACCUGGCUCAGUGGUUAGAGCGUAGAGCUUAUGAUCGUGAUGUUGUGAGUUCGAUUCCCGGACCGGGCUGUCUUGAGCAAGACACUUUAUUUCACGUUGCUCCAGUUAACUCAGCUGCAGAAAUGGGUUGCGACAUCACUGGUGCCGAGCUGUAUCGGCCCCUAUGCCUUUCCCUUGGAUAAUAUCAGUGGUGUGGAGAGGGGAGGCUGGUAUGCAUAGGCGACUACUAGCCUUCCACAAACAACCUUGCCCUGACUUGUGCCUCGGAGGGUUACUUUCUAGGUGCAG